UACGUAGGGCGCGAGCGUUGUCCGGAAUUAUUGGGCGUAAAGAGCUCGUAGGUGGCUUGUUGCGUCUGCCGUGAAAGCCCGUGGCUUAACUACGGGUCUGCGGUGGAUACGGGCAGGCUAGAGGCUGGUAGGGGCAAGCGGAAUUCCUGGUGUAGCGGUGAAAUGCGCAGAUAUCAGGAGGAACACCGGUGGCGAAGGCGGCUUGCUGGGCCAGUUCUGACGCUGAGGAGCGAAAGCGUGGGGAGCGAACAGG
rnacentral:rRNA from 2 species